UCUUAUGUGCAUGCCUACAACAUAGCAUUAAAGCAUAAUAUUCCAUUAGAACUUCGCAGUUAAGCGCACUCGGGCUAGAGCAGUAUUGGGAUGGGUGACCGCCAGGGAAGUCUGGGAAGUCCUAGUAU
rnacentral:rRNA from 1 species